AUUCUUAUAGUUUAUUUUAAAAUAUUACACUGAAAAUGUAAAGAAAUAAUAUUUUAAGAAUA
rnacentral:tRNA from 1 species